AUAUAACCAUCAGGGAGACGUGCUGACUCACAGUCAGCCUCUGGGGCAGCACUUCCGUUUUCUUUAGUUCUUGAAGAAACAAGUAUGGUGCUACCCAGGAAAGCGGACAAGCUAACCAUGCCACAGACCCCCGGACUCUACUUCCUUCCUUAGAGUCAGGAACUAAGAGGAAAAUAUUCAGCUUGGUUUUCUGGAGUGAGAAAUACAGGGUUGAGACUGCAUCAAGACAAACACAGUCAUGUAAAUAAUGUAGGUGAAAAACUGAAGAAGAGAUGAAGAGCCAUCACAGCUUCCCAAUCGAUUUAUUUGCUUCCAACUUUUCCAACAUUGCUGCUCAGUGAGCUUUCAAAAAUGCCAGUCUAAGUAAUUCACUUUUCUGCUUAAAACCCUUCAGUGCAUCCGAGGGGACUUGAGAUAAAGACCAAAGCCCUCACCUGCCCUGGAGGCCUUGAGUGACAUGGCUCUCCUCCUCUCACCUGCCUGUGGAAGCCACUCUCUCUCCGGAGGGCUCCAGACUUCACCUGUAGUUGCUCUCUUAAUUCAUCAAAACAGAUGGGCUUCUUCCUGCCUCAGGGCCAUUGCUCCUGCUGUCCUCCUGCCUGAAUCAUCGCAGCAGACUGCCAGCCCUUCUGCUGUCUUUGGCUGCACACUUCUUUUGUUUGGCCAGCCAAGAGAUGACUGAAGUUUGAACUUGAAUGCCUUAAGGCCAGCAGACUUCCUCCAGUGGGCCUUCAGUUCUAAUAUUUCUUGUUGUCUUACCCCUGCCAGAUGCACACAUUUGUGUUACUUGCCUGAUCUCUUAAAGGAAUUUGAGUUUGCAAUCUCUGGACUAAUUAAUUUCUACUAAUCAACCAGUAAGGCACAAAUGCCACCUCCUCACAAAAGCUUUCACAGCCCCACAAAAAAUCCUGUACUUUCCCUUCAUAGCACUCAUCACAACAGCAAUUAAAUAACUAAUUGUGUUAUUACAUGUCUAAAGUCUAUAUUCCCGGCCAGCAUGGACAUUCCAAAAGGGCAGGGACUCUUGUCUUUUUCGCCACUACAUUCUUAGUGUUUUCAUAUAGAAGGCACUCAAUGAUUGAAUGGAUGAAUGAUAAAGCUAAAGUAUUCUAAAGCUUAGUGACAUAAAUAAUUCUCUAAAAGCUUUAAAUGAGAAUUAUAGGCAAACAUUUUUCUGAGAUUAUUUGAGCCUAGUCCUUCCAGGAGACACUGAGAUCCCGGAACCCUCAGGAUGAUGUGUCAUGGGAAGCUCAUGACAGUGAUGUCAUACUACUGUACUAGGUCUAAAGGGCAGAAGGAAUGGGGAAGCCAAGAGGGCUCCAGGCUCCAUGCAACUAAUGAAACCAUAGCAACUCUACUUGCUAGACUUUUAUCAUUAUUCACUUUCUUUCUUUCUUCCCUUUUUUUUUUUUUUUUUUUGAGAUGGAGUUUCACUCUAGUUGCCCACGCUGUAGUGCAAUGGUGCAAUCUUGGCUCACCGCAACCUCUGUCUCCCGAGUUCAAGCGAUUCUCCUCCCUCAGCCUCCUGAGUAGCUGGGAUUACAGGCAUGUGCCACCACGCCAAGCUAAUUUUGUAAUUUUAGUAGAGAUGGGGUUUCUCCAUGUUGGUCAGGCAGGUUUCGAACUCCUGACCUCAGGCGAUCUGCCCACCUCAGCCUCCCAAAGUGCUGGGAUUACAGGUGUGAGCCACCGCGCCCAGCCUAUCAUUAUCCACUUUCUAUCUUUUAUGUAAAUAUAGUGAAUUUCUGCAUAGGAUUUGUCUGAACAAAGCUUAUACCAAGGCUUUGACAGUGUCUAUCUUAUUGGUUAUGGUAUCAAUGGCUCCUAGAAUGGUGCCUGGCACUGAGUGUUGCUGUCUAUGAAUGGUAACCUACUUGUGGUAAAGAUAUUUACAAAGCUAGGAUCAGAUUUCUGUUGUGUUUCAGGAUCAGGAAGUAGUGAAGCUGUCCUAUUGCAGGUAACGUUGGUAGCAUUACCUAUCACAUAUGAUGAGGGUUUCUUCCAUCCAUUCAGUCCAAUUGCAAAACCAAAUCAAACAACUUCUUUUCCUUUCCAAAUGAUAUUCAAUUCAAGUCCUUCAAAUGCAUUUCAAAAGCUUCUCUUGUCCAUGCUCCUUCUCUAUGCUAUGUUGUCUUCUCUGCCUGUAGUCACAUCCAAAAGGCAAUGAACUAAUUAUCUUCAUAAGUAUUUUUCUUUAUUUCCAAAUGUGAUCAGAAUGUGCCCAAAGAAUUCUUCAUUGCAAUGUUUUUGAGGAAGUUUGACAUUAUUAUUAUUAUUAUUAUUAUUAUUAUUAUUAGGCUUCAUUAUAUCUGAAGCAAAUUAAAGUGGACAAUUUUCUAUGAUGAUGGAAAGUCUCACUAUGUUGCCCAGGAUGGUCUCAAACUCCUGGCUUCAAGCAGUCCUCCUCCCUUGGCCCUGCAAAAUGCUGGUAUUACAGGCAUAAGCCACUAUGCCAGGCCAAGGUUUUUUUUUUAAUGUGAUAAUUAGCAGUAAAAGUGGGAUAAAAGACAUUAUAUGGACUAGUACAUGCCGUGUUCAUGGUGCCAAAUAGCUUGUAUUUCCACCCUUCCACCCUUGCCUCUUUGCUGCCUUCUGGACCAAAGUUGUCUGUCUUGGAGGCAGACUUGUGUAAUUACUUUAAUAAUCUCACUUGCCCUCUGGUUUCUGGUUGGCUUUGUCCAAUGGGGAGCCCCUGCAGGAGGUCAGAAGGAAGAUCACAGUGAGGUCUAGUCCCACAUUCCCCUGCUUCCUGCCUACUGAGUUGGCUUGGGCUGGCUGCAUGAUCAUGAGCAAAGACCAUAACUCCUUUCAAGGUGACCCUUUUCACACUCUCUCCUCUUGCUCCUUUAGACCUCAGGGUGGUAACAUCUGCUGUGACUAGCCCCAGCGUGUCACUGUUUGUGGUUUUCCCACAUCUGCCUAUACCCUAUCAACAGUCCCUUUACUCAGCCCUCCUGGAGUAUGCCACUUGCUUCCUGUUGGGACCCUGAUUGAUACACCUACUAGGGAUCCCACUUACGAUUGCUCUCAUUUUGCUCAGGAGUGGAAGUUAUGGUGAUAGACAUUGUAUCCACAGGUGUAACUACUUGAAAGAGAAGCAUUUUUUGGAAUCAUACCCUACCAUCUGCUUUUGUUUUAUUAGAUCUAAAAAUCUAAAUUAACCAUAUUUUCAUUAUGUCCUAAAAUGCCUUAUUAUUGUAUUUUUCUCAACACUUCUAUAAUAUGCCAUGCAUAUUCUUUUUUUGAAAAUUAUAUAAUUUAUUGGUUAUUACUAAUUUUAUGUACCUACACUACUUUCUGUUCCUUCAUAAGUAAAUGUCUUAUUUUUUAUUUGCUUAAUUUUCUAUUCUAUAUACUAAUUCUUAUUUUUAAUUUGUUGCCCAACUUGCCUUGAACUCCUGGACUCAAGGGAUCCUCCCACCUCAGCCUGCCAAGUAACAGGGACUACAGGUGCAUACCACUGUACCUGGCUAUGUGUUAUACUAAUUAUUAAUCCAACCACGAACUGUCUGUCAUUGUUAACAUCUCUCAAGUCAUUCAGACACAUCAGAAACUCUACCAAUUUUAUUUUAAUAAAUUUAUUAAGGGCUUACUGUGUACCUGGCAUUAUGCUUGGCAUUAGGAAUAAAGCACUGAACAAGACUCUUCCA